CAGAGGACCUCAGCUGCCCCAGCGAACAGGGCCUUCUGUACAGGGAAUGUGCUCCUCCUCGAAGCAUAGACAAGAAGCAGCCCUUAGAUCUCAUCAGGAAAUUCUACGGAGAGAAGGUCGGAAUCUACUUUGCUUGGGCUGGGCUAUUACAUUCAGAUGCUCCUCCUGGCAGCAGUCGUGGGGGUGACUUGCUUUCUUGUGACCCAGGUGGCUGUCUCCUUGAACUGAUGAUGCAGCUGACAAUAAUCAUGGGAGGACAGUCCAUCUGGAAUAACAUACAAGAGGUGUUACUUCCGUGAGUACUAAGUCAUGUGAUCUUGGGGUGAGAACGGCCCACCCAUCCAAGUAAUUUUCCUGCAUGCCCAUCUCUAAAACAGGGGAGACUCUCUGCUUAUUAAAGCUCUCCAGAUAAGAUGAUCCAGCCAACAGUGUAAACAUACCUCCUGUUUAAUAAUUAUGUUUAAAUUCCUUCCUUUUUAUGUUUAAAUUAAAUCCUCAAGUGCUAUAGUUUCUGCUUAUUAGCCCAUCACUGGGGACUGACUGAUCAGAGCCCGUUGAGAGAUGGCCCUUUUUGGGGCCAUGAACUAAGUUUUCCCACAACUUCCCGCAACUUUCUCCUCCUUUUAUACAUGCAUUUAAAAAUCCAUAACAGGAAUUUGUUGAGUGCCUAGUAUGUGUUAGUCACUGUAUUAAAUGUUGUACAUAUAUGUGUGUGUGUGUGUACAAUUUAAUCACCCAAACAAUCCUUAUUCUUAUCUUCCUUUUCAAAUGAAGAUCCUGUGGCUUAAAGAGGGUAAAUGAUUUGCCCAAGUUCUCAUUGCCAAUAAGAGACCACUGUGGGACUCAGA